rnacentral:rRNA from 1 species
CACGUAGGGGUCAAGCGUUGUCCGGAUUUAUUGGGCGUAAAGAGCUCGUAGGCGGUUGGGUAAGUCGGGUGUGAAAACUCCAGGCUCAACUUGGAGACGCCACCCGAUACUGCUCUGACUUGAGUUCGGUAGGGGAGUGGGGAAUUCCCGGUGUAGUGGUGAAAUGCGUAGAUAUCGGGAGGAACACCAGUGGCGAAGGCGACUACCUGGCCUGUUCUUGACGCUGAGGCGCGAAAGCUAGGGGAGCAAACGGG